rnacentral:rRNA from 1 species
UACGUAGGGUGCGAGCGUUAAUCGGAAUUACUGGGCGUAAAGCGUGCGCAGGCGGUGAUGUAAGACAGUUGUGAAAUCCCCGGGCUCAACCUGGGAACUGCAUCUGUGACUGCAUCGCUGGAGUGCGGCAGAGGGGGAUGGAAUUCUGCGUGUAGCAGUGAAAUGCGUAGAUAUGCGGAGGAACACCGAUGGCGAAGGCAAUCCCCUGGGCCUGCACUGACGCUCAUGCACGAAAGCGUGGGGAGCAAACAGG